UAAGAGAUUUGUCUCUAUGCCUAGAUUUAUACCCGAACCCUUACCGAAUUCGAGUGUCCUCGUCUAGGUAGCCACACAUACUAGUUUUUCUGGGAACCAUGGCUUC
rnacentral:rRNA from 1 species